CCUACGGGCGGCAGCAGUGGGGAAUAUUGGACAAUGGGGGCAACCCUGAUCCAGCCAUGCCGCGUGUGUGAAGAAGGCCCUCGGGUUGUAAAGCACUUUCAGUGAGGAAGAACGCCUGGUGGUUAAUACCCAUCAGGAAAGACAUCACUCACAGAAGAAGCACCGGCUAACUCCGUGCCAGCAGCCGCGGUAAUACGGAGGGUGCGAGCGUUAAUCGGAAUUACUGGGCGUAAAGCGCGCGUAGGUGGCUUGAUAAGCCGGUUGUGAAAGCCCCGGGCUCAACCUGGGAACGGCAUCCGGAACUGUCAAGCUAGAGUGCAGGAGAGGAAGGUAGAAUUCCCGGUGUAGCGGUGAAAUGCGUAGAGAUCGGGAGGAAUACCAGUGGCGAAGGCGGCCUUCUGGACUGACACUGACACUGAGGUGUGAAAGCGUGGGUAGCAAACAGGAUUAGAUACCCCAGUAGUC
rnacentral:rRNA from 1 species